rnacentral:tRNA from 1 species
AUUCUUAUAGUUUAUUUAUAAAAAAUAUUACAUCUGAAAAUGUAAAGAAAUAAUUUUUAAGAAUA